rnacentral:rRNA from 1 species
AAAAGUGAAAGACGGUCUUGCUGUCACUUAUAGAUGGAUCCGCGCUGCAUUAGCUAGUUGGUAAGGUAACGGCUUACCAAGGCAACGAUGCAUAGCCGACCUGAGAGGGUGAUCGGCCACACUGGAACUGAGACACGGUCCAGACUCCUACGGGAGGCAGCAGUAGGGAAUCUUCCGCAAUGGGCGAAAGCCUGACGGAGCAACGCCGCGUGAGUGAUGAAGGUCUUCGGAUCGUAAAACUCUGUUAUUAGGGAAGAACAUAUGUGUAAGUAACUGUGCACAUCUUGACGGUACCUAAUCAGAAAGCCACGGCUAACUACGUGCCAGCAGCCGCGGUAAUACGUAGGUGGCAAGCGUUAUCCGGAAUUAUUGGGCGUAAAGCGCGCGUAGGCGGUUUUUUAAGUCUGAUGUGAAAGCCCACGGCUCAACCGUGGAGGGUCAUUGGAAACUGGAAAACUUGAGUGCAGAAGAGGAAAGUGGAAUU